rnacentral:rRNA from 1 species
ACAGAGGGUGCGAGCGUUAAUCGGAAUUACUGGGCGUAAAGCGAGUGUAGGUGGCUCAUUAAGUCACAUGUGAAAUCCCCGGGCUUAACCUGGGAACUGCAUGUGAUACUGGUGGUGCUAGAAUAUGUGAGAGGGAAGUAGAAUUCCAGGUGUAGCGGUGAAAUGCGUAGAGAUCUGGAGGAAUACCGAUGGCGAAGGCAGCUUCCUGGCAUAAUAUUGACACUGAGAUUCGAAAGCGUGGGUAGCAAACAG